UACUAAAGAACUGUUAAGUGUUUUGUUGGCCUACUCAAAGCUGGCCAAAAAAUGGGAAGGGGGGGAUGAGAGAGGCAGCAAAAACCACUAUGAGAGCAUUUGGGAUCAGAGGCUCACACUUUUUUUUCUAAUAGGAAUCUUGUGCCAGAAAAGCUUCAGGCUGUCUUGGGUGCUAUAUGCAGAGUUGCAGAACGGAAAGUGGAAACAACAUAAAAAAUUUUGAGAAAUCAAAAAAGAGAUGCGAGCUGUUCCUUGUUUUUCAUCUUCCUACCCUUCCAUAUCUCCAAAUGGACAUCAUCUUAGAAAUUCAUCCACCAAACUAUGGAAAUCCUCACCAUGUACAAGUGUCAGAGCUCUUUUAUAAAGCUCCUAUGGGGGUACAGUACUUGGAACAAUGAGAUAUCUCAUUUCCCCCC